UACGAAGGGGACUAGCGUUGUUCGGAAUCACUGGGCGUAAAGCGCACGUAGGCGGAUAUGUCAGUCAGGGGUGAAAUCCCGGGGCUCAACCUCGGAACUGCCUUUGAUACAGCAUGUCUUGAGUCCGAUAGAGGUGGGUGGAAUUCCUAGUGUAGAGGUGAAAUUCGUAGAUAUUAGGAAGAACACCGGUGGCGAAGGCGGCCCACUGGAUCGGUACUGACGCUGAGGUGCGAAAGCGUGGGGAGCAAACAGGAUUAGAAACCC
rnacentral:rRNA from 1 species